GGUUCGAUUAUGGCUCAGAUUGAACGCUGGCGGGAUGCUUUACACAUGCAAGUCGAACGGCAGCACGGACUUCGGUCUGGUGGCGAGUGGCGAACGGGUGAGUAAUGUAUCGGAACGUACCUAGUAGCGGGGGAUAACUACGCGAAAGCGUAGCUAAUACCGCAUACGCCCCCGGGGAAAGCGGGGACCUUCGGGCCUCGCACUAUUAGAGCGGCCGAUAUCGGAUUAGCUAGUUGGUGGGGUAACGGCUCACCAAGGCGACGAUCCGCAGCUGGUUUGAGAGGACGACCAGCCACACUGGGACUGAGACACGGCCCAGACUCCUACGGGAGGCAGCAGGGGGAAUUUUGGACAAUGGGGGAAACCCUGAUCCAGCCAUCCCGCGUGUGCGAUGAAGGCCUUCAAGCAAAGCACUUUUGGCAGGAAGAAACGGCACGGGAUAAUACCCCGUGCAACUGACGGUACCUGCAGAAUAAGCACCGGCUAACUACAUGCCAGCAGCCGCGGUAAUACGUAGGGUACAAGCGUUAAUCGGAAUUACUGGGCGUACGUGCGCAGGCGGUUCGGAAAGAAAGAUGUGAAAUCCCAGAGCUUAACUUUGAACUGCAUUUUUAACUACCGAGCUAGAGUGUGUCAGAGGGAGGUGGAAUUCGCGUGUAGCAGUGAAAUGCGUAGAUAUGCGGAGGAACACCGAUGGCGAAGGCAGCCUCCUGGGAUAACACUGACGCUCAUGCACGAAAGCGUGGGGAGCAAACAGGAUUAGAUACCCUGGUAGUCCACGCCCUAAACGAUGUCAACUAGCUGCUGGGGCCUUCGGGCCUGGUAGCGCAGCUAACGCGUGAAGUUGACCGCCUGGGGAGUACGGUCGCAAGAUUAAAACUCAAAGGAAUUGACGGGGACCUGCACAAGCGGUGGAUGAUGGAUUACCUGAUGCAACGCGAAAAACCUUUACUCUACCUUGACAUGUCUGGAAUCCCGAAGAGAUUUUGGGAGUGCUCGCAAGAGAACCGAACACAGGUGCUGCAUGGCUGUCGUCAGCUCGUGUCGUGAGAUGUUGGGUUAAGUCCCGCAACGAGCGCAACCUCUUGUCAUUAGUUGCUACGAAAGGGCACUCUUAAUGAGACUACCGGUGACAAACCGAGGAAGGUGGGGAUGACGUCAAGUCCUCAUGGCCCUUAUGGGUAGGGCUUCACACGUCAUACAAUGGUCGGGACAGAGGGUCGCCAACCCGCGACGGGAGCCAAUCCCAGAACCCAUCGUAGUCCGAUCGCAGUCUGCAACUCGACUGCGUGAAGUCGGAAUCGCUAGUAAUCGCGGAUCAGCAUGUCGCGGUGAAUACGUUCCCGCGGGUCUUGUACACACCGCCCGUCACACCAUGGGAGUGGGUUUUACCAGAAGUAGUUAGCCUAACCGUAAGGAGGGCGAUUACCACGGUAGGAUUCAUGACUGGGGUGAAGUCGUAACAAGGUAA
rnacentral:rRNA from 1 species